rnacentral:rRNA from 1 species
CCUACGUGCGGCAGCAGUGAGGAAUAUUGGUCAAUGGGCUUACGCCUGAACCAGCCAAGUCGCGUGAGGGAAGACUGCCCUAUGGGUUGUAAACCUCUUUUGUCAGGGAGCAACGCCGGCUACGUGUAGCCGGACUGAGAGUACCUGAAGAAAAAGCAUCGGCUAACUCCGUGCCAGCAGCCGCGGUAAUACGGAGGAUGCGAGCGUUAUCCGGAUUUAUUGGGUUUAAAGGGUGCGUAGGCGGAAUGCCAAGUCAGCGGUAAAAUCGCGGGGUUCAACUUCGGAAUUGCCUCUGAUACUGUUCGGCUAGAGAGUAGUUGCGGUAGGCGGAAUGUAUGGUGUAGCGGUGAAAUGCUUAGAGAUCAUACAGAACACCGAUUGCGAAGGCAGCUUACCAAGCUACUUCUGACGUUGAGGCACGAAAGCGUGGGGAGCAAACAGGAUUAGAUACCCUGGUAGUC